UGCCCCCUCAAAUCAAAUAGUCCAUACUUUUAAAAGACAUAAAAUUCAUCUAGAGCUUACUGACUGGGGAUCAUUAUUCUGCUAUUUCAUUUAUAGGCUGGGGCCUUUGGGAUUAAACAUGUUUUCGUAGAUACAUAAUAUUGCUAUGGAAUUUUCACGAGAGAGUAAUAGAGUAUUACUUUUUGUUUGGUGGAAUUAUGAAAUAGAAGUCAGUACGUUCUUGCUCAAUCCUUUGUUGUUUGAAGGUGUCAUGCUUGUCACCUUCAUCAUAAGCAAGUGUUACUGUAAUCUGAAUUUCAAAAUGACUGAAUGACGGUUUUUUUCGACGCACUGGUUAACACCGCCGUAGCAAAUCACAUGACGUUGACAUAAAUAAUAAUAUAUUAC
rnacentral:lncRNA from 1 species